rnacentral:rRNA from 1 species
GAUGAACGCUGGCGGCGUGCCUAACACAUGCAAGUCGAACGGAGUUCUUAAGGAAUGCGACUUCGGUCAAAUGACUUUUGAACUUAGUGGCGGACGGGUGAGUAACGCGUGAGCAACCUGCCUUUCAGAGGGGGAUAACAUUUGGAAACAGAUGCUAAUACCGCAUAAGAUUACAGUACCGCAUGAUACAGUGAUCAAAGGAGCAAUCCGCUGAAAGAUGGGCUCGCGUCCGAUUAGAUAGUUGGUGAGGUAACGGCUCACCAAGUCGACGAUCGGUAGCCGGACUGAGAGGUUGAACGGCCACAUUGGGACUGAGACACGGCCCAGACUCCUACGGGAGGCAGCAGUGGGGAAUAUUGCACAAUGGGCGAAAGCCUGAUGCAGCAACGCCGCGUGAGGGAAGACGGUUUUCGGAUUGUAAACCUCUGUUUUCGGUGACGAACAAAUGACGGUAACCGAGUAGGAAGCCACGGCUAACUACGUGCCAGCAGCCGCGGUAAUACGUAGGUGGCAAGCGUUAUCCGGAAUUACUGGGUGUAAAGGGAGCGCAGGCGGGAUAGCAAGUCAGCUGUGAAAACUAUGGGCUCAACCCAUAAACUGCAGUUGAAACUGUUAUUCUUGAGUGGAGUAGAGGCAAGCGGAAUUCCGAGUGUAGCGGUGAAAUGCGUAGAUAUUCGGAGGAACACCAGUGGCGAAGGCGGCUUGCUGGGCUCUAACUGAUGCUGAGGCUCGAAAGUGUGGGGAGCAAACAGGAUUAGAUACCCUGGUAGUCCACACUGUAAACGAUGAUUGCUAGGUGUGGGGGGUCUGACCCCCUCCGUGCCGGAGUUAACGCAAUAAGCAAUCCACCUGGGGAG